rnacentral:lncRNA from 1 species
GCAAGUUGAUUAAUUAGAUGCUAUGUGCUGUGAAUGAAAUGAAGAUAAGGGACAAUAGAACAAUCACAAACACAAGGAAUUUAUAGUGGUUCGGAGCUAACCCUUGCUCCUAUGUCUACUCCCCAAGCCUCACUUGGGAAUUCACUAUAACCCCUCGGAUUACAGCCGGUUGUUUUACAAGCUCACAACCAAACUUGUUGUUUUACGAGGUCACAA